rnacentral:lncRNA from 1 species
AGAGUUUUGGGUGAUGUAGAAAAGAACAGCUUUUAUUGCUUUGCCAGGCAAAGGAGGCCACAGCAGGCUAAUGCCCAAAGAGUGUGCCCUCCUUUGGGAGUGGAAAAUAAGGCCAUAGCACCAGACUAAGGUAGAUGCAAGCUUGCUUUCUUCUCCAAAGCUGGUGUUCAGCUGUCCCAGUACUGGGUCUGGUUGUCCUUGAGGUUAUUGCACCAUGACCUUCCUUCUGGAAUGAAGAAUGCUUCAUUAGGUAGUUAACAUCUUCCAUUUGAUGGGUGUUUUAGUUCUGCAGGAUAAUUCAAAGAUAUCAUUACGUGUAUCCAUUGAAGGGGAACCAGAAUCCUGCCCCAAGGCUGUACUAACUGUUUCUUGACUUCUCCUCCCCUGUCUCUGCAUCUCCUUCCUUCCCUGGUUAGCAAUUGUUUGAAAUUGCCCUUUGGAACUUAGGAAAGGUCAUGGAGGCUCAAUUAAGCCUCUUUCCUACAAACAAGAAAUAGGGGACACAAAGAUUUUUCAUGCCCAGGAGCCCCAGAGGGUCCUGCUUGGUUUCAACUGUGCCCAGUACCUCCCAGGCAUUAACUGCAUUAAUUAUUCACAGCAAGUAUGUGAGAAGGCUACUGUUCUGAUCUCCAUCUUACUUAUAAGGAAACAGUGAGAAGCACAGUUACUUGGCUAAGGUCACAAUGUUGGUGGCAAAUGAUGGGACUGGGACUAGAUUUUUCUUUUCCAAUUUGGCAGUCAGGCUAAACCCAUCAGAAACAGGUGUCUUUUAUCUAAAAUUAUAUGAAGGAGAAUUUUAUUUCAUUUCAAAGAAACAAAUGACCUAAAUCAAUUUGCUCCUGCCCUUGAUUUUGUGCAAAUUUAUUUAUAAUGAAUUGUGAAGGAAGGAGAGAUAGUACUAAAUUCAGAAAAAUUUAAAUAGUCUUAAAUCAAGCAUGGACAGACAAUCCCAUUUGUCCAGAAAAGAGGUAGAAGACAAAACAGUAAAUCUUUCCAUAGCAAAAUUAUCACAAGGCUCCCCAAGUCUUCCAGUCUCAACUUUUCCCCUUUGAACAGAAACUGAAAAUCACUGGGUUAUCAUGUGUUCUGAGUCCAUUAAUUUCUUUUGCUCUUCAUUUGUCUUGGAUCUGAUUUGACUUUGUGAUAAUGCAUCACUCUGAUCAUAUUGUGCCCUCCUUGAUAUGGAGUCUUCAGAGAAAGCUACGAACAGACAGAGAAAGAAGUUUGGUGGCCCAACCCACACAGAGUCUCUGGAUGAGGAAUGGCCAUGCUUGGAAGCAUCUUUAACAUACUUGUGGUAUCCAGGGAACUUUAAAGAAAUAAGUCAACAGUAAAAUUCUUGUAGAAGUGAAUGGUAAAUCAGGAACUGAAAAUGAAUUAUUAUUAUUUUUUUUGUCUUUUUUUUUGGUCUUUUCUAGGGCCGCUCCUGCGGCAUAUGGAGGUUCCCAGGCUAGAGUUCAAAUUGGAGCUGCAGCUGUCAGUCUACACCACAGCCACAGCAAUGCCAGAUCCGAGCCACAUCUUCAAUUUACACUGCAGCACACAGCCAUGCCAGAUCCUUAACCCACUGAGCAAGGCCAAGGAUUGAACCCACAUCCUCAUAGAUUCUAGUCAAGGUUUGUUACCACUGAGCCACAACAGGAACUUCUAGAGAGUAAUAGUUUAUACUUUGCAGGCCAUUCUGUCUCCAUAGCAACUGCUCAACUCUGCCAUUGAAGCGCAGAAGCAGCCACAGACAAUAAUAACAAAUGGUAUGUGUUCCAGUAAGACUUCUAUUUACAAAACAGACAGCUGGCUGGUUUUGGCCACCAUAUGGUAAUUUUCUGACCCCAGCCCUAGACGACAAUUUCCAGGACUGCUAUUUAUUAAUUAUGGGCUUUGAUUAAGUUGUUUAGUCCUUCUCAACCUCAGUUUCUUCCCCCAGUGAAAUACAUUGUUUUCCUAGUAAGGAAAUGGUUUCUCUCAGGUAAGUUGAUCGAAAAUGAUUUCCAUAUAAUAUGGUUUGGGAAAUCCCACUCUUUAGGUUUAUAAAAUCACAUAUUGACAUGUGUGUACACGUAUAAUUUCUUGAAUACCUAUUUUGUGCUAGACAUAUAUUUAAUACUUUACAUAUAUUAUCCAUCGGCCCUCAUAACUGUCUUCCAAUAUAGAUGUAAAGUGGUUAAGAGACAUCAAAAUGCUUGGCAAAGUUGCACAGCUCACAAGUAGUGGAAUUGCAGUCAGUUGCUUUAGAAGCUUCACCUAUGCCACUACACUAAGCUCUCUUUUUACUGUCUUAUUUUAAGUUUUAUUUUCUUGUAGAAGGAACACUUAAUAUAAGAUCUGCCAUCUUAAAUUUUUAAGUGUAUGAUACUUGUGCUGUGCAGUGUCAUGCAGGAGAUCUCAAGAGCUUAUUCACCGUGUUUAACUGAAACUUUAUGCUCAUCGGUUAAUUACUCUCCAUCUUUCCCUUCUGCCAGCUCCUGGAAACCAUCAUUUCACCUAUCUUUGCUUCUAUGAAUUUGGCUAUUUUAAAUGACUCAUAUAAGUGAGGUCAUGACACACUUGUCUUUAUGCAACUGGCUUAUUCUCUUAGUAUGUUGUCUCUUGAUAAGGACAUACUGGUAAUUCUGAACAGUCACGAGGGCCAGGGAGCAUCAUGCACAUUGAAUACAAGUUAUUUUUGUGGGGAACAGCCUUUUGCCCAGAUCCAAAUAUUCACUGCCCUAGUUUUACUAGCAACUAAAUGGAUGGUACUAAAGACUAGAGUUUGAGCACUCUCCUAUCCUGUUCCUGCUUCCUUUCCCCAUUUUAGCUCCAAUGACUCGUAAGAGGACUCCUUUUGUUUUCUCCUUAGAGGUACAAAUCAUCUCCUUUCUGAGUUCUCAAAGACAGCCUGGUAUAGGCAAUUCCCAACCAUAGACCAAGCCGCCAGUCAUUGGGGCAAAUUUUUACUCUCUUGCUAUUUUGUUCCUUUGACUUUAGCAAUAAUGGGUAAACUUCAGAUUCCCUUUUUCUUACAAUGCAAUGGUGAAUUCCCAUCCUCAAAUAUGAGCUGUAUUAAAAGUAUAAACACAUGGAGAAAGAAGCAGAAAGUCCCAAUUUGGUGUUAGACCUCAAUUGUAUUCCAUUGUGUAGUUUUUAUUUAAGCUCUGCAUUGAGAGGUGUGGAAUGUUCUCUCAGGUUAAUGAAAAUAAUACUUCUUCUACCAUAAAUCUUUGUGCUUGUGAUCCCUUGGAGGGAAUGCCCUGGAGGAAGAGGAGUCAUGGCCUGAAGACUCCUGCAGACCACUUACAUUUAAAACAAACAAUCAAAACAAAAAAUAAAACAAAAUUUCCCACUGAAUCCCUGUGCUAAGCAGUUUUCAUGGAUUCUAGUUCCUUCAUCUAUUUUUCAUCUUCAUCAGUCAAUGGCUUCCACCCUUAUACUCCACUGGAACUUCUACCAUUAAGUUGCCCAAUGGCCUCCAAAUAUUCAAGUCCAAUGGCUCUUUUCCAGUUCUCUUAACCCACUAAAUCUUUCUAGACUGAUCCUUGUUUUUUGAAACCCUUUCCUCCUUUUGACUCCCUGAGAGCACUUCCCUUGUUCUCUUACAGCAGGAGUCAUCAGGCCCACGCCCAUGGGGGCCAAGCAGCUGACAUAAAUGACUGAAGUGCACUCAUGUCACAUUCUUUCAAAACAGAUGCAUUUGUACGUACAUCAAACAUGUUACAGUAGUCUUAUCUCCUGCAAGUAAUGUUCUCUUGCUCAUUGUUCUUGAAAUUUGUGGCCUACAUAUUCUGUCUUCCCAACUUUUUUUUUUUUUUUCGGCCAGUCCCACAGCAUGUAGAUGUUCCUGAGUCAGGGUGGAACCCAUGCCACAGCAGCAACCCAAGCCACUGCAAUGAAAACACCAUGUCCUGAACAUACUGUCACCAUUAGGGAACUCCUCUUUUUUCCCACUUUUUGUAGAAACAUGGAUAUAAGAAAAAUUUUACUCUCCUCUUCCUUAUACUUGAAAAAAAGCAGCUGUCACCUAGGUGAUAAACAGCUCCAGACAUUGUCCCAGGACAAUUGAUUAGAGUGAGAUUGUGCCAAACUAGAGCCUACAUAGUCUAUUGAAAGAGGAUGUAUCUACCCAGCCCCAGGUUAUUAUUCCUAAGUCUUUUUAUUCACAACAGAUGCUAGAAAGACAGGGUUUAGGUAAAUCUCUGUUUAAAUGUUUAAAUGUCAGCAGCACUGUGAAGGUCAAAUACAAACCUUCGAAGCGUGAGGUUUCGCUUGCUAGUCUGCCACUUUUGUGCUCAGAACCAGCUUGUUUCGUCGCUUGCUCCUUUUCCACCAGAGAUGUUCUCAUUUCAAAUGCUGUUCUUGAGAAAGCCCAUCUCUUCUGCCACAUCUUCAGCCCACAACACUUUGUAGGAACUUUAUUGUCACACUUCAUAUUCCUCUUCAUAUUAUAGUUACUUAUGAAAAUAUCUUACAAGUCUCUUAUAAGUUUAUCAUGAGCAGUAACUGAUUAUUUGUAUGUGUAUUCCAUGUGGCACCCAUAUCCAUUGCUUUGCACAUGAAAACUCUGUCAUAAAUAUAUCUUGAUUCAUUGGUAUUUAUGGUCUCAAUUUCUACAAUGAAAAUACUUUAAAGGAGUUCCUGUUGUGACUCAGUGGGUCAAGGACCAGCGUUGUCUCCGUGAGGAUGCUGGUUCCAUCCCUGGCCUCCCUCGGUACAUUAAGGAUCCAGCAUUAACCCAAGCUGCAGUGUAGGUCACAGAUGUGGCUUGAAUCCAGUGUUGCUGUGGCUAUGGGGAAGGCUGGAAGCUGCAACUCAGAUUUGCCUCCUAGCUUGGGAACUUCCAUGUGCCACAGGUGCAGCCG